rnacentral:tRNA from 1 species
GCCAAGGUGGCAGAAUCCGGUAACGCGUACGCCUGGAAAGCGUAUGGUCCUCACGGGCCAUUAGGGUUCAAAUCCCUACCUUGGCG